GAAUAAUAUUUAUUUUAACAAUUUGUCUCAUUUUGAGCAGGUUCCCCAAAUGAGGAUACUUUAGGAAUGCGAUCACAAAGCAGGAGAAUCUGAGGAAAUUGACAACAGGGAGUAUGUUCGCUCACUCAUGAACUUCGUUAAGUAUUGAUUAAGCACUUACAGCAUGCCGAGCACUGCUGAACGGGGAUAUAUAGUGGUAAACAAGAGGAAUAAGGUCCCUGACCUCAAAUAGCAACAGAUCAGUAAAGAUGACGUUGGGGGAGUUUGCCAGUGUGCCACAGCAAGCAACAACGAUAAAAACCUUUUUCAGGUUGUGCUCAGCCUGAAAGUUGCGUCUUUCUGCCCCAAACAGCUUAAGACUGUCUAUAAAGUCACUCCUGGUGACAUUGAAGAGUGAAGAUGCUCAGAGCAGAGGACCAAGGUCAGCAGACUCUUCCCAGGCAUUCUGGUGGCAACCAUGAAAAUACUCCUAACCAGGAAACAAAACUGUGAAGCCUAUUACCAGGCUUCAAAUCAAAACUUCCACUGUACAUCUUUACAUAUUACGUCCACAUUACUUAGGAUGUCAAACAGCAUUGAUGCUUCAAAAGGAAGCCUAUGGUAUGUCAUCUGAAGGUCAGGCACGGAAGACAUUGCUAUGAACACAGAUCCUUUAGCUUUCAUAACAUGUUGGAGAAGAGGAAGGAGCUGGUGGAUACAGGGAAGUCGGCUUGCUAGGGAAAAGUCAAGUCCCUCAAUCAUUUCAUCCUGCUUUUAUUACUGGGAACUCAGGGUACCACACAAACUCUCUGGAACCCACGCCAGAUGGCUAGAGAUGAGAUUUGGAUGAACUAAGAAGACUCCUUGCUCCCUGUUGCAGGGACUUAUUUGGUAAGACUGCCCUUUCCCAAGAGUGUCCCCAUGGCUGGCCCACAUGCCGGACCUUCUGACUCCAAACUAUGUCUGCAGUUCACAUAACAGGCUCAGCAGACUUCAUUUCUAACGUGCCACCUGGUAAUCUCUAGGAGCUGCAGCGAGUUCCCAAACCAGACAUCCACUGUGACUCCAGCCUUCUUGUUCUGGUCCACAUCUCCUGUACGUGUAGCCCUCUCACACUUCCAGCCCUCUUCUUAUAGUUUAUCUUCGGCAUCACGUUGCUUCUGAGGCACUGGAGAGCAUUCAAGAAAAGAAUUGAAGUUCUGAAGAAACCAAACAC